rnacentral:rRNA from 1 species
UCUUUUAGAUAUUGGGUAGGGGAGCGUUCUGUAAGCCGUUGAAGGUGAAUCGUAAGGUUUGCUGGAGGUAUCAGAAGUGCGAAUGCUGACAUGAGUAACGACAAAGGGGGUGAAAAACCUCCUCGCCGGAAGACCAAGGGUUCCUGUCCAACGUUAAUCGGGGCAGGGUGAGUCGACCCCUAAGGUGAGGCCGAAAGGCGUAAUCGAUGGGAAACGGGUUAAUAUUCCCGUACUUCUGACUAUUGCGAUGGGGGGACGGAGAAGGCUAGGUGGGCCAGGCGACGGUUGUCCUGGUUCAAGUGCGUAGGCUUGAGAGUUAGGUAAAUCCGGCUCUCUCUAAGGCUGAGACACGACGUCGAGCUGCUACGGCAGUGAAGUCAUUGAUGCCAUGCUUCCAGGAAAAGCCUCUAAGCUUCAGAUAGUCAGGAAUCGUACCCCAAACCGACACAGGUGGUCGGGUAGAGAAUACCAAGGCGCUUGAGAGAACUCGGGUGAAGGAACUAGGCAAAAUGGUACCGUAACUUCGGGAGAAGGUACGCUCUUGAUGGUGAAGUCCCUCGCGGAUGGAGCUGACGAGAGUCGCAGAUACCAGGUGGCUGCAACUGUUUAUUAAAAACACAGCACUGUGCAAAAUCGCAAGAUGACGUAUACGGUGUGACGCCUGCCCGGUGCCGGAAGGUUAAUUGAUGGGGUUAGCGCAAGCGAAGCUCUUGAUCGAAGCCCCGGUAAACGGCGGCCGUAACUAUAACGGUCCUAAGGUAGCGAAAUUCCUUGUCGGGUAAGUUCCGACCUGCACGAAUGGCGUAAUGAUGGCCACGCUGUCUCCACCCGAGACUCAGUGAAAUUGAAAUCGCUGUGAAGAUGCAGUGUACCCGCGGCUAGACGGAAAGACCCCGUGAACCUUUACUACAGCUUGGCACUGAACAUUGAACCUACAUGUGUAGGAUAGGUGGGAGGCUAUGAAGACGUGACGCCAGUUGCGUUGGAGCCGUCCUUGAAAUACCACCCUUGUAUGUUUGAUGUUCUAACUUAGACCCAUUAUCUGGGUUGAGGACAGUGCCUGGUGGGUAGUUUGACUGGGGCGGUCUCCUCCCAAAGAGUAACGGAGGAGCACGAAGGUGGGCUAAUCACGGUUGGACAUCGUGAGGUUAGUGCAAUGGCAUAAGCCCGCUUAACUGCGAGAAUGACGGUUCGAGCAGGUGCGAAAGCAGGUCAUAGUGAUCCGGUGGUUCUGUAUGGAAGGGCCAUCGCUCAACGGAUAAAAGGUACUCCGGGGAUAACAGGCUGAUACCGCCCAAGAGUUCAUAUCGACGGCGGUGUUUGGCACCUCGAUGUCGGCUCAUCACAUCCUGGGGCUGAAGUCGGUCCCAAGGGUAUGGCUGUUCGCCAUUUAAAGUGGUACGCGAGCUGGGUUUAGAACGUCGUGAGACAGUUCGGUCCCUAUCUGCCGUGGGCGUUGGAAGAUUGAAGGGGGCUGCUCCUAGUACGAGAGGACCGGAGUGGACGAACCUCUGGUGUUCGGGUUGUGUCGCCAGACGCAUUGCCCGGUAGCUAAGUUCGGAAUUGAUAAGCGCUGAAAGCAUCUAAGCGCGAAGCGAGCCCUGAGAUGAGUCUUCCCUGA